UCAGGAGAGAUGACACAUUUAUCUCUAUUUAUGUUAUGUUUCCUUUGUAGGUCACCCAGGGCUCUGCUCUGCCUCAUCCUCACUCUAGGACCCAGGCUGCGCGGGCAGCUGCUGUCUGAGCAUUGCUGAUUGCCAUGGCAGAGGGAAAGAAAAAAGAAAAAAAUUGCAAGCUAGGCCUAAAAACUUUGGUCCAGAUGUACAUGGUUAUUGAGAGCACACGGAGACAGAGAAGACCCCGCGAAGACAGCAGCAGAGCCUGGAGUGAUGCAGCUCAAGUUAAGGAAUGCCAAAGGCUGCCAGGCUAGGAAGGCAGCAGUCUUCUCAGGAGCCUUUGGAGAGGGCGUGGCCCUCAGAAUAGUGAGAGAAUAAACUUCUCUUGUUUUAAGCCUUC